rnacentral:sRNA from 1 species
ACUUCCGGACCGCGGAGAGCACUGGCGACCCUAGCGGGUGAGAGGCCCUUCAGGGCCCACUACCUGUUCUGCAGGCGGGUCCUGGCCUCCCCGCAGUGAAUCCCAGAGACCAAGAGAUGGCAGCUGGGUUCUUUACUGCUGGAUCGCAGGGGUUGGGGCCAUUUAAAGAUAUGGCCCUGGCCUUCCCUGAGGAGGAGUGGAGGCAUGUGACCCCAGCCCAGAUAGACUGCUUUGGGGAGUACGUGGAACCGCAGGACUGCAGGGUCUCUCCAGGCGGUGGGAGCAAGGAAAAGGAGGCAAAACCCCCACAGGAAGACCUGAAAGGGGCGCUGGUGGCACUGACAUCAGAGAGGUUUGGGGAAGCCUCUCUCCAGGGCCCUGGGCUCGGAAGGGUCUGUGAGCAGGAGCCUGGUGGCCCUGCAGGCAGUGCGCCUGGGCUUCCUCCUCCCCAGCACGGUGCCAUCCCCCUGCCUGACGAAGUCAAAACCCACAGCUCCUUCUGGAAGCCUUUCCAGUGCCCUGAGUGUGGGAAAGGAUUCAGUCGGAGCUCC